rnacentral:rRNA from 1 species
ACUCAAAUGAAUUGACGGGGGCCCGCACAAGCGGCGGAGCAUGUGGAUUAAUUCGAUGCAACGCGAAGAACCUUACCUGGGUUUGACAUACACCAGAAAGCUCUAGAGAUAGAGCCCCCCUUGUGGUUGGUGUACAGGUGGUGCAUGGCUGUCGUCAGCUCGUGUCGUGAGAUGUUGGGUUAAGUCCCGCAACGAGCGCAACCCUUGUCCUGUGUUGCCAGCAAGUAAUGUUGGGGACUCGCAGGAGACUGCCGGGGUCAACUCGGAGGAAGGUGGGGAUGACGUCAAGUCAUCAUGCCCCUUAUGUCCAGGGCUUCACACAUGCUACAAUGGACGGUACAGAGGGUUGCGAUACCGCGAGGUGGAGCGAAUCCCUUAAAGCCGUUCUCAGUUCGGAUCGGGGUCUGCAACUCGACCCCGUGAAGUUGGAGUCGCUAGUAAUCGCAGAUCAGCAACGCUGCGGUGAAUACGUUCCCGGGCCUUGUACACACCGCCCGU